UCCUUUUUUUAUUUUUUUUUUAACCAUAAAUCAGCACAAUAAAAUGUUUGCACGUAAAUCCAGAACUUUUUAUUACUUUUCAACCACACAUUCUCCAAAAAAUCACUAUUCUAAACUCAUAUACCCCAAAAAACUCCUUUUUAAUGGCUACUGAACAGAGGCUUUAUCUGAAGGUAAUAUUUAUUGUUUAAUGGAUAACCAUAUUAUGCCCUUGCUUGAGCCCCAUUAUAUCAAAAAUUUAUCUUUUCAAAACUCAUUUUUAACCAUAUUUUCCAAUAAAAUAAUUUUACAUUAAAUCGAAGCACAUUCUCCCAAAAAACUCUAUUCCAAAAUACAUUUUCCCCCAAAAUGGGGCUCAAAUGAGGGCUACUGAAUCAUUUGAAUGAGUUACAUCCAGUUUUAUUGGUACACUGGUUCUCAGCAAAAUAUCGACUAUUUGUAACUUUUUGUUUCCAAACAUGUUUGGAUGAGGUUUCUUUUUCUUAUAAAUGAAAAAACCUCGCUUCAUUGGAGAGGAAGGAUGGGAUUACACUCAAUCAAGAGCCUUUGAAGCCAUGACCAUCUCCAUAAUGAUAUAACUCUGUUGCAUACAUAUAUAGUUUGUAGAUUUUCUUUAGAUGGCAGUUUCUGUAAAUUUUAUCAAAUAGGAAAUUGUUUGAUAUAUACGCGGGCAUUACAAAACUCAAUUGCUCGUAUUUGCCCCAUGCUAAAACCUAAUGAAAAUCUAUAUCCUGAUUUCUUUAGCUGAUAGAACUAUUUCUAGUUUACUCUUUUGUUAAGUACAAUAGGUUUCUUGGAGGUGAGUUGUAAGUCCU
rnacentral:lncRNA from 1 species